rfam:Candidatus Kaiserbacteria bacterium RIFCSPHIGHO2_02_FTLL_55_17 rifcsphigho2_02_scaffold_2398, whole genome shotgun sequence.
CGGGCCGUAGUAUAUCGGCAGUACGUAUGCAUGGGGUGCAUAAAGGCCGGGUCCGAUUCCCGGCGGCCCGA